UUCACUUCAGCGAGAAAAGCUAAAACUGGAAAGACACAGAGAAGAUUGGCAUAUCUCAUGUGUAUGGAUGCCAUGCAAAUCCAUGAAGUGUUCCCUCUUUCG
ensembl:snRNA U6 U6 spliceosomal RNA